AGUGGCGAACGGGUGAGUAAUAUAUCGGAACGUACCCAGAAGUGGGGGAUAACGUAGCGAAAGUUACGCUAAUACCGCAUACGAUCUACGGAUGAAAGCAGGGGAUCGCAAGACCUUGUGCUUUUGGAGCGGCCGAUAUCUGAUUAGCUAGUUGGUGAGGUAAAGGCUCACCAAGGCGACGAUCAGUAGCUGGUCUGAGAGGACGACCAGCCACACUGGAACUGAGACACGGUCCAGACUCCUACGGGAGGCAGCAGUGGGGAAUUUUGGACAAUGGGGGCAACCCUGAUCCAGCAAUGCCGCGUGAGUGAAGAAGGCCUUCGGGUUGUAAAGCUCUUUUGUCAGGGAAGAAACGGGAGUGGCUAAUAUCCAUUCCUAAUGACGGUACCUGAAGAAUAAGCACCGGCUAACUACGUGCCAGCAGCCGCGGUAAUACGUAGGGUGCAAGCGUUAAUCGGAAUUACUGGGCGUAAAGCGUGCGCAGGCGGUUUUGUAAGUCUGACGUGAAAUCCCCGGGCUUAACCUGGGAAUUGCGUUGGAGACUGCAAGGCUGGUGUCUGGCAGAGGGGGGUAGAAUUCCACGUGUAGCAGUGAAAUGCGUAGAGAUGUGGAGGAACACCGAUGGCGAAGGCAGCCCCCUGGGUCAAGACUGACGCUCAUGCACGAAAGCGUGGGGAGCAAACAGGAUUAGAUACCCUGGUAGUCCACGCCCUAAACGAUGUCUACUAGUUGUCGGGUUUUAAUUAACUUGGUAACGCAGCUAACGCGUGAAGUAGACCGCCUGGGGAGUACGGUCGCAAGAUUAAAACUCAAAGGAAUUGACGGGGACCCGCUCAAGCGGUGGAUGAUGUGGAUUAAUUCGAUGCAACGCGAAAAACCUUACCUACCCUUGACAUGUCAGGAAUCCCGGAGAGAUCUGGGAGUGCCCGAAAGGGAGCCUGAACACAGGUGCUGCAUGGCUGUCGUCAGCUCGUGUCGUGAGAUGUUGGGUUAAGUCCCGCAACGAGCGCAACCCUUGUCAUUAGUUGCUACGAAAGGGCACUCUAAUGAGACUGCCGGUGACAAACCGAGGAAGGUGGGGAUGACGUCAAGUCCUCAUGGCCCUUAUGGGUAGGGCUUCACACGUCAUACAAUGGUACAUACAGAGGGCCGCCAACCCGCGAGGGGGAGCUAAUCCCAGAAAGUGUAUCGUAGUCCGGAUCGUAGUCUGCAACUCGACUACGUGAAGUUGGAAUCGCUAGUAAUCGCGGAUCAGCAUGUCGCGGUGAAUACGUUCCCGGGUCUUGUACACACCGCCCGUCA
rnacentral:rRNA from 1 species